UUUCCGUAGGUGAACCUGCGGAAGGAUCAUUACCGAGUGAGGGCCCUCUGGGUCCAACCUCCCACCCAUGUUUAUUUACCUUGUUGCUUCGGCGAGCCUGCCUUUUGGCUGCCGGGGGACGUCAGUCCCCGGGUCCGUGCUCGCCGGAGACACCUUAGAACUCUGUCUGAAGAUUGUAGUCUGAGAUUAAAUAUAAAUUAUUUAAAACUUUCAACAACGGAUCUCUUGGUUCCG
rnacentral:misc_RNA from 1 species